AGACAGGAAGGAGGGCUGAGGUGGCGCGCGGCACAGGAAGAGGUGAGGAGCCCCAGCUGCGUGACAGCCAGUGGGCUCGGGGGACUGCAGGAGCUGGCGGGCUGUGGCCCCGCUGCCCUGCCAGGCCAGCACCUCCCCAGCCCUUCAGACAGGGCUGCACUCCUGCCCAGACAGCUCCUGGCAGCAUGGGGCCCAGCUGACCAGCCAGCCACAGAGACUCCCCGGACAUCCUGGCACCACCCAGCUGCCUCUGACCACUGGAAGCCCCGGGCUGGAAUGCCCCCAGCCCCCUUCAGGGCAUCCUUGCAGCGACGGGGUCCGGGAGGUAAGCUGAGGCCAGGCUGUCUCCGUGCAGGCGUGCCUCCGGACGGGGGAGGAAGAGGAGACAGCUGGCAGGAAGGAGCGUGACUUUAAGGCCUGAGACACUCUGGGGAGGGGUGGCUGAGGUCAGCCCACAACAGGCCGAGGGGUCAGCGCCCAGCUUCCCAGGAACCAAGGAUGCAAAAGGAGGGGCAGGAAGUAGCUGGAAAGGCUGCAGGCAGAGGUGAUGAUGAGCAGCACGGCCCAGGGGCUAAACCUGGAAUCAGCAAACCCGGUCCUGCAUCCCCUUUCCUACCACAUCUGCCCGGGGUCCUGAGGACCAAGCGAGGUGGUGCAGGUGGGGAGGGGGCCAGCCCCCACUGCCUGCGCCAUAAAUGUGGCCCUCGUGUUGGGUGUGCCACCCCAGGGACCCCGCCAGCUGCCCCUGGGAGAGAUGAGGCUCGCCAUCCUGACAGGACCGGGAACCUCAGAGGCUUUCUCAGAAGAGGUGCUGCUGAGCUGGGCCACGGCUGGCUGUUGGUCAUGGGGUCUGCCCCUGUGGCCAGGCUCUGGGGUCCCAGGGCCCCCCUCAUCCCCUCAAUGGAGGCACAGGCUUUCCCCGCCCCGGGGGCUCACCCUUGGCCACUACAGGCCAUCCUGCCGCUGUGUCCAGGUCGGGGUGCAGGCUGGGCACCCCCUCCUCAGUCGUGGCUCUGGGAUCCCCAGGGUUGAGCCUGACCCUGUCCCCACGAGGGCUCUGGGGCAAUGCCAUCAGGAGGGCCCUGUCUUGCGGUGAAGACACCGCUUCCUCCCUCCUCAGGAGGUCAGCGGUCACGAUGCUGGGGCCACCGAGCUGAGAGGGAGCCGAGAACCCAACUCUCAGGCCCUGAGAGACAGGGUGGGGCAGGAGUCAGGAGAGAGGAGCAUCCAAGCAGCAGUGGCCCAAGAUAGGGGCAGCCCUGGCGGAGGGGAGCAUGGCAGGCCCCGCAGCCCCACAGCGCAGGGCAGAGGGGGGCCGGCUGCCCCCCCCCACACACAGCCUAGAGGACAGGAUGAGGCCCUGGGGGGACAAAGGACAGGUCGGACCUCGCUGGCAGAGGCCAAGAGGAGGUCAGGACCUGGGUUUUCGAAGGGGUGGAGCAGAAGCCCAAUGUGGAGCCUGAGGGCCGGGGUCUUAGCGACACCAGCACCAGGGAGCACAGUCCUUAGCUGUGUCCUGCCCACAAGUGAGGCUCUGGGGACACAGAGGCUGCCUGGCCUCCAAGUUGUGCGUCUGGCCUUGCCCUGUCCACUAGAGCACAGAUCUCUAGAGCCUGACCAAACUCUGGCCGUCAGAUCCCCGAGGCGAUCCAAGGCCACCUGCCCUCCGUCUUCCAACUCAGGUCACAAGCCCCCUGCGGCCCACCAGAGGCUGUCUACACUGGGCAGGAUCUACCUGACUUGUGGCGUGUGGCCACCAGACGGCCCGGUGCUCAGAGGCCUCUGAUGUGCUCCAAGCUGGGGUGGCAUCUGGGACUGCAGGCGUGGCUGUCCACACAGCUGGCCAGGUGGCCACGCCAUCAGGGGAGACCCCUCCUCAGCCUCUGCUGUUGGUCCUGGGAGGUCGCGGGAAUGUGGGGUUCCUAGUCCAGCUGCUGAGGUCUCUUCUGCUCCUGCUGGAACAAGGCGUCUAACAGGGAAGGCCCGGUUGGAGAGUGGGGGUCUUAUCUGAGUAGGGCCUGAGGAGAGAUGCCAGAUAACAGAGAGAACAUUCUGGUACUUUUGAAUCUCAGAUAAACAAGGAGGUUCUUUUAAAAGCAUAAGUUUGUCCCAAGUAUGACGUAAGAUAUACUUACAGAAUUUUUCAUUGUUUAUCUGAAAUUCAAAUGUCACUUGAUGUCCUAUAUCUUAAUUUGCUAAGUUUGGCAACCCUACACCAGGUCAGAGGUGCCAGAAAAAUGGGUGGUUUGAUCAGGCGGGAGUGUUGGCUGCAAUGCUGAGGGGCUAAUGGACCACAGAGGCCGGGGAGCCUGUCCCCCUCUUCCCAGGCACCUGCAGGCCAGCCUCUUCCUCCCUCACUCUUGCCUGCUGUUGUCCCUUCCUUGUCACCUUCCUAGCCCCUCUCUGGCCCAGUGGUUCUCAACUCUGGCUGCCCAUUAGAAUCACUGGGUAGAUUUAAAAUGCAUCCAGUAGGAGCUGUGCUCAGGCCAGUGAGAUCUCCGGGCACUUGGGCUGAGCAGUGGCUUUUUAAAAAUAGUGCUCCAGGAGUUCCCACUGUGGCUCCGCAGAAACCAAUCUGACUAGUAUGCAUGAGGACGCAGGUUUGAUCCCUGGGCUCGCUCAGUGGGUUGGGGAUCCAGCGUUGCCAUGAGCUGUGGUGCAGGUCACAGAUACGGCUUGGAUCUGGCGUGGCUGUGGCUGUGGUGUAGGCCGGUGGUUAUAGCUCCAAUUAGACCCCUAGCCUGGGAACCUCCGUUUGCUGAGGGUACAGCCCUAAAAAGAUUAAAAAAAAAAAAAAAAAAUGAAAGACAAAAAUAGGGCUCCAGAGAAUAAGCACGUAAUCCAGCAAUUCCACUUCUGCGUAUGUCCCCAGAAGGGUUGAAAGCAGGGCCUUCAACCAAUAUUUGUUCUCCCACGUUCAUAGCAGCAUUAUUCACAAGGGCCAAAACCUGGAAACCACCUAAGUAGCUACCGACAAAUGGAUGAAUAAACUAAGUGUCGUCCAUCCAUAAAACAGAAUGUGAUUUAGUCUUAAAAAGGCAUGAAAUUCUAAUACACGUCACAACAUGGAUAAACCUGGAAAAUAUUAUGCUCAGCGACAGAGGCCAGACACAAAAGGACACACACCGUGUGAUCCCAUGUGUAAGAGGUCCCUAGAGUUGUCGGACGCAAAGACAGAGAGUGGAAGGAGGCUGGGGAAUUGGUGUUUAAUGGAUGGAGUUUCUGUUGGUGGAGGCUGGCAAUGGCUGCACAACCUUAUAAACGUAUUGUAGUCCACUGAAUUGAAUGCUUAAAAAAUGACUACAAUAUUAAAUUUGUGUUUGUAUAUUUUACUGCAAUAAAAAAUUAAAGAAUAUAAUGCUCCAGACAAUGUCCUGCCAGAGCUGAGAGGCAGUGCCUGGCCCUUCUUCCUCAUGGUUCCUGCGUGCUCCUGCCACCACUCCAUCCACUGAGGCACAGCCUGGAACCUGCUGGGUGCAGCUGGACAUCCAAUGCAGGAGGCUGUGUCCAGUCCUGGGCCACAUCCUGGCAUCACCCUGUCUGAGAGCAGGACAGAGGGCCUAGCAUCCCAGCCUCGUGUGCUAAGAGGCCAUGGCAGGAGUUCCCGUCGUGGCUCAGUGGUUAACAAACCAGACUAGGAACCAUGAGCAUGUGGGUUCGAUUCCUGGCCUCGCUCAGUGGGUUAAGGAUCCGGUGUUGCUGUGAGCUGUGGUGUAGGUCAAAGAUGCAGCUCGGAUCCUGCAUGGCUAUGGAUAUGGUGUAGGCUGGCAGCUGUAGCUCUGAUUCAACCCCUAGCCUGGGAACCUCCACA
rnacentral:lncRNA from 1 species